CAAAAGAGAAAUUUUAAAGCAUUUUUUAUUGAAUGAUAAUGAAAACACAACAUAGCAAAAUCUGUAGGAUGUUACUAAAACAGUACUUAGGGAAAAAAUGUAUAGCUUUAAAUGCCUGUAUUAGUAUAGAAGACAAGCCUCAAAUUAAUGACCUUCUAUUCCACAAUAAGAAACUAGAAAAGAAGAUUAAAUUCAACCCAAUGUAAGAGGAAUAAAGACAAUAAUAAAGAACAGAGCAGGAGCAGUUGUGAAGCAUGCACUUUCGUGUUGCAGGAGGCCGGCUUCUUCAAGAGGGAGGGGAAAGGUUGUAACCACUCCUUUGAGGGGGUCGCCGGGGACACUGUCGUGGAUUUGUAGAGUUGGCUGGGUGGUACCAUGGCAGAAAGAAAAGGAACAGCUAAAGUGGACUUUUUGAAGAAAAUUGAGAAAGAAAUCCAACAGAAAUGGGAUACUGAGAAAGUGUUUGAAGUCAACGCAUCUAAUUUAGAGAAGCAGACCAGUAAGGGCAAGUACUUUGUAACCUUCCCUUAUCCAUAUAUGAAUGGGCGCCUUCAUCUGGGACACACAUUUUCUUUAUCCAAAUGUGAGUUUGCAGUAGGGUACCAGCGAUUGAAAGGAAAAAGUUGUCUGUUUCCCUUUGGCUUGCACUGUACUGGAAUGCCUAUUAAGGCAUGUGCUGAUAAGUUGAAAAGAGAAAUAGAGCUAUAGGGUUGCCCCCCUGAUUUUCCAGAUGAAGAAGAGGAAGAGGAAGAAAUCAAUGUUAAAACAGAAGACAUAGUAAUUAAGGAUAAAGCUAAAGGAAAAAAGAGUAAAGCUACUGCUAAAGCUGGGUCUUCUAAAUACCAGUGGAGCAUUAUGAAAUCCCUUGGCCUAUCUGAAGAAGAGAUAGUAAAAUUUUCUGAAGCAGAACAUUGGCUUGAUUAUUUUCCACCACUGGCUAUUCAAGAUCUAAAGAGAAUGGGUUUGAAGGUAGACUGGUGUCGUUCCCCAUUACCACUGAUGUUAAUCCUUACUAUGAUUCUUUUGUUAGAUGGCAGUUUUUAACAUUAAGAGAAAGAAACAAAAUUAAAUUUGGGAAUCAGUAUACCAUUUAUUCUCCAAAAGAUGGAGAGCCUUGCAUGGAUCAUGACAGGCAAACUGGAGAGGGUGUUGGACCUCAGGAAUAUACUUUAAUCAAAUUGAAAGUGCUUGAGCCUUACUCAUUCAAAUUAAGUGGCCUGAAAGGUAAGAAUAUUUUUUUGGUAGCUGCUACUCUCAGACCUGAGACCACGUUUGGACAAACUGUUGGGUGCAUCCUGAUAUGAAGUACAUUGGAUUUGAGACAAUGAAUGGGGAUAUAUUCAUCUGCACCCAAAUAUCAGCCAGGAAUAUGUCAUACCAGGGCUUUACCAAAGACAAUGGUGUGGUGCCUGUUGUUAAGGAAUUAAUGGGGGAGGAAAUUCUUGGUGCAUCACUUUCUGCACCUUUAACAUCAUAUAAAGUGAUCUACGUUCUCCCAAUGCUAACCAUAAGGAGGAUAAAGGCACUGGUGUUGUCACAAGUGUUUCUUCUGACUCCCCUGAUGAUUUUGCUGCCCUCAGAGACUUGAAGAAAAAGCAAGCGUUACAAGCAAAGUAUGGAAUUAGAGAUGGCAUGGUCCUGCCAUUUGAGCCAGUAUCAGUCAUUGAAAUCCCAGGUUUUGGAAAUCUUUCUGCUGUAACCGUUUGUGAUGAGUUGAAAAUUCAGAGCCAGAAUGACCGAGAAAAACUUGCAGAACCAAAGGAGAAGUAAUAUCUAAGAGGAUUUUAUGAUGGUAUACUGUUGGUGGAUGGAUUUAAAGGACAGAAGGUCCAAGAUGUAAAGAAGGCCAUUCAGAAAAAGAUGAUCAACAUUGGAGAUGCACUUAUUUACAUGGAACCAGAGAAACAAGGGAUGUUCAGGUCUUCAGAUUAAUGUGUCAUGGCUCUUUGUGACCAGUGGUACUUGGAUUAUGGAGAAGAGAACGGGAAAAAGCAGACAUCUCAGUGCUUGAAGAACUUAGAAACAUUCUGCGAGGAAACCAGGAGGAAUUUUGAAGCUACCUUAGAUUGGCUACAAGAACAUGCUUGCUCAAGAACUUAUGGUCUAGGCACUCCCCAGCCUUGAGAUGAGCAGUCUGAUUGAAUCACUUUCUGAUUCCACUAUUUACAUGGCAUUUUACACAGUUGCACACCUGUUGCAGGGGGGUAACUUGCGUGGAAAGGCAGAGUCUCCACUGGGCAUCAGACCACAACAGAUGACCAAGGAAGUUUGGGAUUAUGUUUUCUUCAAGGAGGCUCCAUUUCCUAAGACUCAGAUCCCAAAGGAAAAGCUAGAUCGGUUAAAGCAGGAGUUUGAGUUCUGGUAUCCUGUGGAUCUUCCAGUCUCUGGCAAGGAUCUUGUUCCAAAUCAUCUUUCAUAUUACCUUUAUAAUCAUGUGGCUAUGUGGCCGGAACAAAGUGAGAAAUGGCCUACAGCUGUGAGAGCAAAUGGACAUCUCCUCCUCAACUCUGAGAAGAUGUCAGAAUCCACAGGCAACUUCCUCACUUUGAACCAAGCUAUUAACAAACUUUCAGCCGAUGGAAUGCGCUUGGCUCUAGCUGAUGCUGGUGACACUGUUGAAGAUGCCAACUUUGUGGAAACCAUGGCAGAUGCAGGUAUUCUCCGUCUGUAUACCUGGGUGGAAUGGGUGAAAGAAAUGCUUGCCAACUGGAACAGCCUAAGAAAUGGUCUUGCCAACACUUUCAAUGAUAGAGUUUUUGCCAGUGAAAUGAAUGCAGGAAUUAUAAAAACAGAUCAAAACUAUGAAAAGAUGAUGUUUAAAGAAACUUUGAAAACAGUAUUUUUUGAGUUUCAGGCAGCGAAAGAUAAGUACCAUGAAUUGGCCAUAGAAGGGAUGCACAGAGAACUUGUGUUCCGGUUUAUUGAAGUCCAGACACUUCUCUUGGCUCCAUUCUGUCCACAUGUGUGUGAGCACGUCUGGACACUCCUGGGAAAGCCUGAUUCAAUUAUGUAUGCUUCAUGGCCUGUGGCAGGUCCUGUGGAUGAAGCCUUGAUAUGUUCCUCACAGUAUGUCAUGGAGGUACCACAUGACCUUAGACUACGACUCAAGAACUAUAGGACGCCAGCUAAAGGGAAGCAGACUGACAACCACCUCCGAAGCCCUCACAUUGCACCAUCUAUGUGGGGAAGAACUAUCCACCUUGGCAACAUACCACCCUAUCAGUUCUACGCAACCACUUUGAGGCCAACAGUGGAAAAUUGCCUGAUAACAAAGUCAUUGCUAGUGAACCAGGCAGUUUGCCAGAAUUGAAGAAAUAUAUGAAAAAAGUGAUGCCAUUUGUUGCCAGGAUUAAGGAAAAUCUGGAGAAGAUGGGGCCUCGUGUUCUGGAUUUGCAUUUAGAAUUUGAUGAACAGGCAGUGCUUAUGGAGAAUAUAGUCUACCUGACUAAUUCCCUUGAGCUAGAACACAUAGAAGUCAAGUUUGCCUCUGAAGCAGAAGAUAAAGUCAGGGAAGACUGUUGUCCUGGGAAACCACUUAAUGUUUUUAGAACAGAACCUGGUGCGUCAGUUUCCCUAGUGAAUCCCCAGCCAUCCAGUGGCCACUUCUCAACCAAAAUUGAAAUCAGGCAAGGAGAUAACUGUGAUUCCAUAAUUAGGAGUUUAAUGAAGAUGGACCGAGGAAUCAAAGACCUUUCCAAAGUGAAACUGAUGAGAUUUGAUGAUCCACUGUUGGGACCUUAACAAGUUCCUGUCCUGGGAAAAGAGCACACUGAGAAGACCCCUAUUCCUGAGCAUGCUGUUUUCGAUGUGGACGUCAUGAGCAAGAAAAUUCAUCUCACUGAAAAUGGGCUACGGGCAGAUAUUGGUGAUACAGUUAUCUAUCUGGUUCAUUAAAUUCAAGCAAAUUGGAGAUUUAUUCUGGUUUUUAGUGAUACUACUCCUCCUCUGAUUGUGCCUACUGAUUUGCUAUGAGAAUCUUAG